rnacentral:rRNA from 1 species
GACGAACGCUGGCGGCGUGCUUAACACAUGCAAGUCGAACGGAAAGGCCUGCUUUCCCUUGUGGAUUGCGGGUACUCGAGUGGCGAACGGGUGAGUAACACGUGAGUGAUCUGCCCCCAACUUGGGUAUAAGCCUGGGAAACUGGGUCUAAUUCCCGAUAGGACUGCAGGGUGGUGCCUGUGGUGGAAAACGAUUUUCUAGUGGUUGGGGAUGAGCUCGCGGCCUAUCAGCUUGUUGGUGGGGUAAUGGCCUACCAAGGCGGCGACGGGUAGCCGGCCUGAGAGGGUGGACGGCCACAUUGGGACUGAGAUACGGCCCAGACUCCUACGGGAGGCAGCAGUGGGGAAUAUUGCACGAUGGGCGGAAGCCUGAUGCAGCGACGCCGCGUGGGGGAUGACGGCCUUCGGGUGGUAAACUCCUUUCGGCCGCGAGGAAGCCACCUGGUUGGAAGGGUGGUGACGGUAGUGGUAGAAGAAGCACCGGCUAACUACGUG